CCAUGGCUAGUUGCUACGGUGUGUACUGUCUGGCCGGGUCUUACCUCUUGGUGAGCCGGCGUGCCCUUCACUGGGCGCGUCGGGGAACCAGGACUUUUACCUUGAGAAAAUUAGAGUGUUCAAAGCAGGCUUACGCCCGAAUACAUUAGCAUGGAAUAAUAAAAUAGGACGUGCGGUCCUAUUUUGUUGGUUUCUAGAAUCGCCGUAAUGAUUAAUAGGGAUAGUUGGGA
rnacentral:rRNA from 1 species